rnacentral:rRNA from 1 species
UACGAAGGGAGAUAGCGUUGUUCGGAAUUACUGGGCGUAAAGGGCACGUAGGCGGACUGUUAAGUCAGGGGUGAAAUCCCGGGGCUCAACCUCGGAAUUGCCUCUGAUACUGGCAGUCUAGAGUUCGGGAGAGGUUGGUGGAAUUCCUAGUGUAGAGGUGAAAUUCGUAGAUAUUAGGAAGAACACCAGUGGCGAAGGCGGUAAACUGGCCCGAUACUGACGUUGAGGUGCGAAAGCGUGGGGAGCAAACAGG